CGUCCUCUCCGCCCGUACGCCUGAAUCCUCAUGGCCGCUCUUGACUGACUGAACCGAUCCCUCCCUCGGAGGGCAUUCCCCACCAGAUCAGCUCCUCCUCCGGUGGGCCGCGCUGCCGUGGGCGCGGAGCGAAGGCCUCCGGUCAAUCCGUCCUGCGGAGCACCGAUCGGGCUUUGGUUUCCGGCCGUUUUGUUGGAGCUUGGAAGGGGGCCAAGCGGAGGGGGCGAGGCGAGGAAGGAAGUAGACUGAAGGUGGGGUGAGAUUGAGAAGGGGAAGCAGAGGAACCAAGGUCUCAAGAUUCACAAAUAGCCUCAUUCUAGUGGAUAUGAUCAAGAAAGCGACAGUUUGGUCACACUUGGAUCCGGCCACAAAAUGACUGUAAUAGUUUUCAUAGAUCUGAGUGAUCAUGAUAUUAUUGACUUGAGCAGCAGCGACGACGAGACUGUUCAGGAGGAUCAUAUUGCUACUCAGCACCGGGCGGCGUCGUUUGAUAGCAAGACUAUGCAUGUCAUAGCUGGUGAAGGAAUCCAAGAUGUGCAGGCUGCUUUUGUUGCAACUAGUGAAGGAAGGCAAGAUGUGCAGGCUCUGUUUGCUGCAGCUAGUGAAGGAAGACAAGAGGCUGCUGCUUGCGGACAUGCUUUGGAAGUCACCACAUUGUCCUUGGUUACGGAAAAAGAACCGCUUGUUGUAGCUAGUGAAGGAAGCCAAGAUGUGCAUGUCAGGCAGCGGCAGCAAGAUCGAUCGGAUUCAGAGAGAAGACUAGGUGUUUUGCGUUGCGCACAAACUGCAACUUUUCUUGUUUUUCCUUCUCUGUUAUUUAUACUGCGAUUACAGAAUGACUGGGAGAGUGAUCCGAGCUUCACGGCCGUGCCAUUCCA